rnacentral:rRNA from 1 species
GACGAACGCUGGCGGCGUGCCUAAUACAUGCAAGUCGAACGCACGGAGUUGAAGAGCUUGCUCUUUAACCAAGUGAGUGGCGGACGGGUGAGUAACACGUGGGUAACCUGCCCAUUAGAGGGGGAUAACAUUCGGAAACGGAUGCUAAUACCGCAUAGUUUCAGGGAUCGCAUGAUUCUUGAAGGAAAGGUGGCUCCGGCUACCACUAAUGGAUGGACCCGCGGCGUAUUAGCUAGUUGGUGAGGUAAUGGCUCACCAAGGCAAUGAUACGUAGCCGACCUGAGAGGGUGAUCGGCCACACUGGGACUGAGACACGGCCCAGACUCCUACGGGAGGCAGCAGUAGGGAAUCUUCCGCAAUGGACGAAAGUCUGACGGAGCAACGCCGCGUGAGUGAAGAAGGUUUUCGGAUCGUAAAACUCUGUUGUUAAAGAAGAACAAGGAUGAGAGUAACUGCUCAUCCCCUGACGGUAUUUAACCAGAAAGCCACGGCUAACUACGUGCCAGCAGCCGCGGUAAUACGUAGGUGGCAAGCGUUGUCCGGAUUUAUUGGGCGUAAAGCGAGCGCAGGCGGUUCUUUAAGUCUGAUGUGAAAGCCCCCGGCUCAACCGGGGAGGGUCAUUGGAAACUGGAGAACUUGAGUGCAGAAGAGGAGAGUGGAAUUCCACGUGUAGCGGUGAAAUGCGUAGAUAUGUGGAGGAACACCAGUGGCGAAGGCGACUCUCUGGUCUGUAACUGACGCUGAGGCUCGAAAGCGUGGGGAGCAAACAGG